AAAGAAACCACAGGGAUUGCCCUAGUUUACCGGCCAGUGAAGCGGAACAGCUCAAAUUUGAAAUCUGGCUUCGGCCCGAGUUGUAAUUUGCAGAGGAAGCUUUAGGCGCGGCACCUCCUGAGUCCCCUGGAACGGGGCGCCACAGAGGGUGAGAGCCCCGUAUAGUUGGAUGCCUAGCCUGUGUAAAGCUCCUUCGACGAGUCGAGUAGUUUGGGAAUGCUGCUCAAAAUGGGAGGUAAAUUUCUUCUAAAGCUAAAUACCGGCCAGAGACCGAUAGCGCACAAGUAGAGUGAUCGAAAGAUGAAAAGCACUUUGAAAAGAGGGUUAAAUAGCACGUGAAAUUGUUGAAAGGGAAGCGCUUGUGACCAGACUUGCGCCGGGCGGAUCAUCCGGUGUUCUCACCGGUGCACUCCGCCCGGCUCAGGCCAGCAUCGGUUCUCGCGGGUGGGAUAAAGGCCCCGGGAACGUAGCUCCUCCGGGAGUGUUAUAGCCCGGGGCGUAAUGCCCUCGCGGGGACCGAGGACCGCGCAUUUGCA
rnacentral:rRNA from 1 species